rfam:Cryptococcus bestiolae CBS 10118 unplaced genomic scaffold supercont1.2, whole genome shotgun sequence.
AUCUACGGCCAUCGAAUCUGGAAAAUACUGCAUCCCGUUAGCUCUGCGAAGUCAAGUCGGAUAUUGCUCGACUAGUACCAAGGUUGGGGACAUCUUGGGAAUCUCGAGUGCUGUAGUUG